rnacentral:rRNA from 1 species
CGGNAAACGAGUUAUCUGAACCUUCGGGGAACGAUAACGGCGUCGAGCGGCGGACGGGUGAGUAAUGCCUAGGAAAUUGCCCUGAUGUGGGGGAUAACCAUUGGAAACGAUGGCUAAUACCGCAUGAUGCCUACGGGCCAAAGAGGGGGACCUUCGGGCAUCUCGCGUCAGGAUAUGCCUAGGUGGGAUUAGCUAGUUGGUGAGGUAAGGGCUCACCAAGGCGACGAUCCCUAGCUGGUCUGAGAGGAUGAUCAGCCACACUGGAACUGAGACACGGUCCAGACUCCUACGGGAGGCAGCAGUGGGGAAUAUUGCACAAUGGGCGCAAGCCUGAUGCAGCCAUGCCGCGUGUGUGAAGAANGCCUUCGGGUUGUAAAGCACUUUCAGNCGUGAGGAAAGCGUCGUCCUUAAUAGCNGGCNUUCGUUNGACCNUANCGACACAAGAAGCACCCGGCUAACUCUCAUGCCAGCAGNCCGUNCAAUACGNAGGGUGCGAGCGUUCCUCNNAAUUNCUNNGCCNUAANAGCGCCUGCAGGA